rnacentral:rRNA from 1 species
GACGAACGCUGGCGGCGUGCUUAACACAUGCAAGUCGAACGGAAAGGCCCUGCUUUUGUGGGGUGCUCGAGUGGCGAACGGGGGAGUAACACGUGAGUAACUUUCCCUUGACGUGGGGAUAACUUCAGGAAACGGGGGCUAAUACCGGAUAGGAGCUCCUGCUGUAUGGUGGGGGUUGGAAAGUUUCGGCGGUUGGGGAUGGAUUCGCGGCUUAUCAGCUUGUGGGUGGGGUAGUGGCUUACCAAGGCUUUGACGGGUAGCCGGCCUGAGAGGGUGACCGGCCCCAUUGGGACUGAGAUACGGCCCAGACUCCUACGGGAGGCAGCAGUGGGGAAUAUUGCACAAUGGGCGGAAGCCUGAUGCAGCAACGCCGCGUGCGGGAUGACGGCCUUCGGGUUGUAAACUGCUUUCGCCUGUGACGAAGCGUGAGUGACGGUAAUGGGUAAAGAAGCACCGGCUAACUACGUG